rnacentral:rRNA from 1 species
UGCUAAUACCGCAUAACAGCGUUGUUCGCAUGAACAACGCUGAAAAGAUGGCUUCUCGCUAUCACUUCUGGAUGGACCUGCGGUGCAUUAGCUUGUUGGUGGGGUAACGGCCUACCAAGGCGAUGAUGCAUAGCCGAGUUGAGAGACUGAUCGGCCACAAUGGGACUGAGACACGGCCCAUACUCCUACGGGAGGCAGCAGUAGGGAAUCUUCCACAAUGGGCGCAAGCCUGAUGGAGCAACACCGCGUGAGUGAAGAAGGGUUUCGGCUCGUAAAGCUCUGUUGUUAAAGAAGAACACGUAUGAGAGUAACUGUUCAUACGUUGACGGUAUUUAACCAGAAAGUCACGGCUAACUACGUGCCAGCAGCCGCGGUAAUACGUAGGUGGCAAGCGUUAUCCGGAUUUAUUGGGCGUAAAGAGAGUGCAGGCGGUUUUCUAAGUCUGAUGUGAAAGCCUUCGGCUUAACCGGAGAAGUGCAUCGGAAACUGGAUAACUUGAGUGCAGAAGAGGGUAGUGGAACUCCAUGUGUAGCGGUGGAAUGCGUAGAUAUAUGGAAGAACACCAGUGGCGAAGGCGGCUACCUGGUCUGCAACUGACGCUGAGACUCG